GACGAACGCUGGCGGCGUGCUUAACACAUGCAAGUCGAACGGAAAGACCCUGCUUUUGUGGGGUGCUCGAGUGGCGAACGGGUGAGUAACACGUGAGUAACCUGCCCUUGACUUUGGGAUAAAUUCAGGAAACUGGGGCUAAUACCGGAUAUGAGCUCCUGCUGCAUGGUGGGGGUUGGAAAGUUUCGGCGGUUGGGGAUGGACUCGCGGCUUAUCAGCUUGUUGGUGGGGUAGUGGCUUACCAAGGCUUUGACGGGUAGCCGGCCUGAGAGGGUGACCGGCCACAUUGGGACUGAGAUACGGCCCAGACUCCUACGGGAGGCAGCAGUGGGGAGUAUUGCACAAUGGGCGGAAGCCUGAUGCAGCAACGCCGCGUGCGGGAUGACGUCCUUCGGGUUGUAAACCGCUUUCGCCUGUGACGAAGCGGGAGUGACGGUAAUGGGUAAAGAAGCACCGGCUAACUACGUG
rnacentral:rRNA from 1 species